rnacentral:rRNA from 1 species
GUACACUCCUACGGGAGGCAGCAGUGGGGAAUAUUGGACAAUGGGCGCAAGCCUGAUCCAGCCAUGCCGCGUGAGUGAUGAAGGCCCUAGGGUUGUAAAGCUCUUUCACCGGUGAAGAUAAUGACGGUCACCGGAGAAGAAGCCCCGGCUAACUUCGUGCCAGCAGCCGCGGUAAUACGAAGGGGGCUAGCGUUGUUCGGAUUUACUGGGCGUAAAGCGCACGUAGGCGGACUAUUAAGUCAGGGGUGAAAUCCCGGGGCUCAACCCCGGAACUGCCUUUGAUACUGGUGGUCUUGAGUUCGAGAGAGGUGAGUGGAAUUCCGAGUGUAGAGGUGAAAUUCGUAGAUAUUCGGAGGAACACCAGUGGCGAAGGCGGCUCACUGGCUCGAUACUGACGCUGAGGUGCGAAAGCGUGGGGAGCAAACAGGAUUAGAAACCCGAGUAGUCC